ensembl:lncRNA
CAAAGACCUUGGAAAAUCUCCCUGCCUCCAGCAGCUCAUCCUUCCCUCUCUAACAUACUUACUCCUUGCAGGCUGUCCCAGCUCCUCAUAGCCAUCUGCCACCACUGGCAGGUGAGGAGCGAGGAAGAGGAGCCAAGCGGGGACAGGAGAAGAAGGUCACAGUGGGGGCGGCGGGGAAGAUGGCUGUGCUCUUCACAGAAUCACAGAAUUUUAAAGGUUGCAAGGGACCUCUGGAGAUCAUUUAGUCCAAGACUCCUGCUAACGAAGGUUCCUUAGAACAGGUUGCAGAGGAAAGCCUCCAGUUAAAUGAACUACUCAAGCAAAUUAAAAACAUUGAAAGGAUUAUCUGAAUUCUGUCACUCAAAAAUGAGUCUCAAGUUAGCUAUUUGCAUGAUAUGCAAAGUUGUAACACCCAAAGCUUAAAUUCCUGCAGUAUCUUCUUUUGCAAAAAUAUUUUCUUUGCAAAAGUACAUAGACAGCUUUAUGGACUUACUAAUAACAUUGCUGUGCUGUAAAUGUUUGGUUAGUAUUCUGAAGUGCAUCUGAUCAAAGAAUAAGGACUAGAGUAGAGAGAGCCUGUUAGGCUUUAGGGAAGAAAACUGACUUUGUA